UUUAUGGAGAGUUUGAUCCUGGCUCAGGAUGAACGCUGGCGGCGUGCCUAAUACAUGCAAGUCGAGCGAACGGACGAGAAGCUUGCUUCUCUGAUGUUAGCGGCGGACGGGUGAGUAACACGUGGAUAACCUACCUAUAAGACUGGGAUAACUUCGGGAAACCGGAGCUAAUACCGGAUAAUAUUUUGAACCGCAUGGUUCAAAAGUGAAAGACGGUCUUGCUGUCACUUAUAGAUGGAUCCG
rnacentral:rRNA from 1 species